AGAAAAACCUCAGCCUGUACACCUCUUUAUGACAGAACAACACAGAAAGAGAAAGACAAAGAAAAGACUACUCUAGGAGGAAAUGGAUGAAACAAUAUGAUUCAUACCACAAAGUACCAGAAAGUACACCAGAGUCAAUACACCAGCACUGGUCACACAAAUCCUUUUCUCCCAUCAGUCAAGAUUUUGGACAGGAAAAAUGAACAAAGAGUGAUAUUUACUGUCUACUUGACCAAAUUCCACAGAGAGGGGCCUGGAAUCUGACUGGAACAGAAACAGCACACUCAGACAUGAAAAACUGUCCUGGCUUAAAGGGUUCCUUUCCUCUCAGGAUUAAUGUCACCAGCCAGGUUCCUAAGCUAUGUGGAACACCCAGGACCAGAAGAAUAUAAAAUUGCAAAAGCUGGUGGCUCCUGAGUCCAAGAGUUCCUGGUUUUCCUGGACACAAACGAUAGCGCAGCACUUUCUUCUCCGUGUGCCAGAGGCCUGGGGUUCUGCAGAAGAGGCCUGGAGGACCCAGACACUGCAAGGUCUGCGCUCAGUAUAUUCUGGGCCCUGUCCUCUCACCUUCUAUUUCUUGUAUGGCCCCCAUACUCAUGCCAGCUAUCCUGGAACAGUCAAGAGUUCAAUUGUGACCUGCUUCCUCCCUCACCCUCUUCUCCCCAACCUCCACACCACACUUCUUUGGGAAGAUUUGUAAAAAUUAAAGUUAUUAUAUCCAUGUAACUUUCUGUAUUUCUUUUAAAAUCCUUGUGCUACUAAGUUAAAGGGCUUUGACUCCUGGAUCUAAAAAAGUCACCAACUCUGGCUAAAUCUUAAACAUUGACAGCAGUUGAAGCCUCAUCUUCAGACCUAGGAGAAGAAGAAAAUCAGAAUAAGCUGCAGUCAUGAGACAUGGGUCCAGAAAUUAAAACUAUUCAACCCCUGUAUUCCCAGAGACUAUUGCAGAAGAAGUGGGUGUGUGAGCUUGUAAGGAUCCAUUUUAAGAGAUAAAAUUAGUUCAGAGUUUUUCUCUAUAAAUAAACAGUUGCGUUUGUUGUUGUUUUGAGACAGUCCAGCUAUGUCAUCCAGGCUGGAGUACAGUGGCAUUAUCC